rnacentral:rRNA from 1 species
AACGUAGGAGACAAACGUUAUCCGGAGUUACUGGGCGUAAAGAGCGUGUAGGCGGCCCGGUAAGUCCGCUGUGAAAGUCGGGGGCUCAACCCUCGAAUGCCGGUGGAUACUGUCGGGCUAGAGUGCGGAAGAGGCGAGUGGAAUUCCUGGUGUAGCGGUGAAAUGCGCAGAUAUCAGGAGGAACACCGGUGGCGAAGGCGGCUUGCUGGGCCAGUUCUGACGCUGAGGAGCGAAAGCGUGGGGAGCGAACAGG